GGCACGCCAUGCUCAGCAACCUUCUGCAACGAAGUUACACUGAAACAUAACCUGCUCCCGAGCAGGUUAUCUUCAGAGAGUCAGUUGCUAUGGUUACAUACAUACCCAGAACGUUACCUCCGUUUUUGGAACCGAAAGUUGAGGUUAUCCACGAACUUACCCUUAAACAUACCCAGUUCAGUUCCAUUGGGCUACCUGGAGACACCUGAGAGGGUUCACCUGCAAGAAGGUCCUGAUGACUCCAUUUCCUCUGCCACUGCUGGACCUCAGGGGUGAUUUAAACAGAUCAGGACAAGACUAGAAUCAGGAUAGAAAUGAACUUUGGGAUUCUCAAGACACACUUCAAUAGUUUAAGGCUGUAAAGUGUCGACCCAUCCAAGGCAGGUGACAUGACAGUGGUGCAUUUUUGUCCUUAUUGUUUAUCUUGAAUUCUUGUUCUUCUGCAGCAAAAUGUACAGAUUUAACACAAUACAUCUCCAGUUUGUCCAACAAGUAUUAGAAGCAGUGUGAGAUGUGUUCUUUUUAAAGUGAAUGUACACAGGACCUGAUGAUGGAAGUCUGGAUCACAUUAACGAGUUGUUAACACACAUCAUGAUACCAAUGAACCCAGUUUAUGAGUGUUUGUGAAGUGAAGUCGGCUCUCAUACUGAGACCCCAAGUCUGCUGAGCUUGUUCUGUGGAACAGUCCUCAGGUGGGAUUGGUCAAACUCUGAACAGGAGCAGGAGCUGAUUGGUCAAACUGUCUGUAGAAAAGGCUGGGAUUGGUCAAAGUUUCUGCAAGAGUGGGCAGAAGUGUUUAAUUAUUCUGCAGGAGCAGAUGGGAUUGGUCAAAUGUUCUUCAAGAGAGGAUGGGAUUGAUCACACUUUAUGCAGGAGUUGGUGUGGUGGGGUUUCUCAAAGGUUCUGCUUAAGUGGACAGGAUUGGUCAGUUAUUCUGUAGGUGACAGUAAUAUUGGUCAGCUUUCUUCAAGAGUGGGUGUGAAGGGUUAAACUUCAUGUGUCAGUGGGUGAGAAUGGAGAUACUU